AGAGUUUGAUCCUGGCUCAGAACGAACGCUGGCGGCAGGCCUAACACAUGCAAGUCGAACGCUCCGCAAGGAGAGUGGCAGACGGGUGAGUAACACGUGGGAACAUACCCUCCGGUUCGGAAUAACUCAGGGAAACUUGUGCUAAUACCGGAUACGUCGGCGACGAGAAAGAUUUAUCGCCGGAGGAUUGGCCCGCGUCUGAUUAGCUAGUUGGUGAGGUAAUGGCUCACCAAGGCGACGAUCAGUAGCUGGUCUGAGAGGAUGAUCAGCCACAUUGGGACUGAGACACGGCCCAAACUCCUACGGGAGGCAGCAGUGGGGAAUAUUGGACAAUGGGCGCAAGCCUGAUCCAGCCAUGCCGCGUGAGUGAUGAAGGCCCUAGGGUUGUAAAGCUCUUUA
rnacentral:rRNA from 1 species